ensembl:misc_RNA
CUUUCCUGAGCCAGAACGAGUCUAGGUAAAGUAGUAUAUGACAUCCUUCGUAUUCCCAUUCAGAUGUCUGAGGUUUCUUUUUCCUUUGGUCAAAUCUGAUUUGUAUUUCUUCUCGGUUAAUACCCCCGGAGUGCUCCAGGCUGCGUUCUGCCUG